rnacentral:rRNA from 1 species
AAGUGAACCUGCGGAAGGAUCAUUACCUMKAGKUGUAGAGCUUUGCCUGCUAUCUCUUACCCAUGUCUUUUGAGUACCUUACGUUUCCUCGGCGGGUCCGCCCGCCGAUUGGACAAUUUAAACCAUUUGCAGUUGCAAUCAGCGUCUGAAAAAACUUAAUAGUUACAACUUUCAACAACGGAUCUCUUGGUUCUGGCAUCGAUGAAGAACGCAGCGAAAUGCGAUAAGUAGUGUGAAUUGCAGAAUUCAGUGAAUCAUCGAAUCUUUGAACGCACAUUGCGCCCCUUGGUAUUCCAUGGGGCAUGCCUGUUCGAGCGUCAUUUGUACCUUCAAGCUCUGCUUGGUGUUGGGUGUUUGUCUCGCCUCUGCGUGUAGACUCGCCUCAAAACAAUUGGCAGCCGGCGUAUUGAUUUCGGAGCGCAGUACAUCUCGCGCUUUGCACUCAUAACGACGACGUCCAAAAGUACAUUUUUACACUCUUGACCUCGGAUCAGGUAGGGAUACCCSCUGAACUUAAGCAUAUCAAUAAGCCGGAGGAAA